UCGCUGUGAAGAUGCAGUGUACCCGCGGCAAGACGGAAAGACCCCGUGAACCUUUACUAUAGCUUGACACUGAACAUUGAGCCUUGAUGUGUAGGAUAGGUGGGAGGCUUUGAAGUGUGGACGCCAGUCUGCAUGGAGCCGACCUUGAAAUACCACCCUUUAAUGUUUGAUGUUCUAACGUUGGCCCCUAAUCGGGGUUGCGGACAGUGUCUGGUGGGUAGUUUGACUGGGGCGGUCUCCUCCUAAAGAGUAACGGAGGAGCACGAAGGUUGGCUAAUCCUGGUCGGACAUCAGG
rnacentral:rRNA from 1 species